CGUGCCGCCACCUCCCCACAAGCUCGCCGCCCCAUCGCGGAAGCCUCACCACCCCGCCGCCAUGGGAACCGAGCUCCUCUGUGCCCCGCCCGCCAUCGGAGAUCUGAGGCCGGCCGGGAGGCGGGGAUGGGGUACCGGUGGGCCCCGGGGAUCUGCGCGGUGGCGCUGCUCUGGCUCGCUGCGACCGCAGCCGGAGAUCCCGAUCCCGACGAGCUCGAGCGCGCAUUGCCAAUGCCAAUUUACAACAAUUUCAGGUCUGCGAAAGUUGGAUUUUGGAUAGGCUUUCAAGAGCGUGACCGAAGCAGAGACACACACAUGUUUGUACACUUGAAUUCUGAUGCCACCACCUGAUAUUGCAGAUCCGCAGAGGCCAUGAAUGGCCUAGUGUGUUUCAGAUAAAAAAAUAUUCUGACCACAACCUUGUACUUUCCUCUUGCAUGGCAUAAACCACCCUCAUGAUCAACCUGAUUACUUAUGCGGCAACCUUCUUACGCAGGCGGCGCGACAACAAUUCUUCUUCCUCAAAGCAUAUAUUUUCUCCAAGCGAUCAACAAAGUGAUUGGUCCAUUUGGAAGGUACACAAGUUUCUGAUGUUUCUGUAUAUUAUGGGACAGAGGGAGUAGUUGUCAGAUCUUCUUUUUGUUCAGUACUUGUUGAGGCUGUCAUAAUUUUUUUUACUCGAAAUUCUACUUGGAUUUUCUAAUUAUGCAUUUACCCAGAUUAAUGCUUAAAACUAAAGUUGGUCAUUGGAUCUUUUUUGUUUAGGCGAAUUUUAUGUCGGUACAUGCUUGAUAUGAAAGGAGGGGUUUAUCUAAUGAACUACACAUAUGGUUUCACAUUCCACCUCUGUGCUCGCAAUUUAAAUGCAGUAUAUUUUACUCACUAAUAAAUCUUGAACAAUCUAAAAAAUAUAUAGCUUAGUUUAUCUUUGUAAGUCCUUAUCUGAUUUUUACAUUUUCCACAUUGUUGUGUCUAUUUUCUCAGUUUGGUCCUGUGGAAAUACUUGUCUUAGGGGUCUCUGCAUUGCAUAUACACGGAAUAUUCACAAAUCUUAAAUACUUGAACUGAGAAAAAAAAGCUUCAGCUAAAUCAGAGGCCAAGUUUCUACUAUAUUUGGCGCAAAGUCGUUGGUUUGUUGAUCUUUUCCUAUUUAUUACUCCUUGUACGUUAUGUGCGACUGCUACAUACAACAAGGUGUUCCAAUCCCCACCAACAAGAGGCACAAUGCUUCCAAGAUCUUCAACACCCUGAAGGUUGCAGCUGAGGAGACAUGGUAUGGAAUUGAGCAGGAGUACACUCUCCUCCAGAAGGAUGUGAACUGCCCCCUUGGCUGGCCCAUUGGUGGCUACUCUGGUCCUCAGGCAAGA